rnacentral:rRNA from 1 species
AACGAACGCUGGCGGCAUGCCUAACACAUGCAAGUCGAACGAAGCCUUCGGGCUUAGUGGCGCACGGGUGCGUAACGCGUGGGAAUCUGCCUCUUGCUUCGGAAUAACAGUGAGAAAUGACUGCUAAUACCGGAUGAUGUCUUCGGACCAAAGAUUUAUCGGCAAGAGAUGAGCCCGCGUAGGAUUAGGUAGUUGGUGGGGUAAAGGCCUACCAAGCCGAGGAUCCUUAGCUGGUCUGAGAGGAUGAUCAGCCACACUGGGACUGAGACACGGCCCAGACUCCUACGGGAGGCAGCAGUGGGGAAUAUUGGACAAUGGGGGCAACCCUGAGCCAGCAAUGCCGCGUGAGUGAUGAAGGCCUUAGGGUUGUAAAGCUCUUUUACCAGGGAUGAUAAUGACAGUACCUGGAGAAUAAGCUCCGGCUAACUCCGUGCCAGCCGCCGCAGUAAUAC